AUUGCUAUGGUGAAAUAGGUAGACACACAGGCUUGAGGUGCCUGGGGACUUUGUCCUUUCCCGGUUCAAAUCCGGGUAGCAAUA
rnacentral:tRNA from 3 species